CACGUUAAAAAUGAUUGCAUAAUGCAAAAUAUUGAUAAUUUGUACUUUGUAAAUUUAAUUUUUGUUAAUGUUGUGAACAUUAGUUUUACACUUUAAAUUUGAAUCAUCUAACAGUAAAAAAUAUAUUUUAGCUAUGCGAUCAUGGAUAAACACUUAGUGGAUUUUGACUGGAAAUUAAAGUAUAUUAUGGGUAGCAGUUCAUUAAGUACACUAGAAGAACCUUUACUGCAAGUAGUACUACAUUUGAAGGAUGGUCCAAUGGCUAACAAUGUACUAAACCCGAAAAUAUCAGAAAAUAUUUUCUUAGAAUUCUCUCAAGAUGAACUAUUGUCACUUGUAGAAAAACUUAAACAAUAUGUAUAAUAAAUUAUAAUUAAUAAAUAAAUGGUAUGUUAAUAAUUUAACAA